rnacentral:rRNA from 1 species
UGGGGGAUAUUGCACAAUGGGCGAAAGCCUGAUGCAGCGACGCCGCGUGGGGGAUGAAGGCCUUCGGGUUGUAAACUUCUUUUGCUCUGAACAAGGCAUGCCUUUGGGGUGUGUUUAGUGUAGGGGUUGAUUAGCGCCGGCUAACUACGUGCCAGCAGCCGCGGUAAUACGUAGGGCGCGAGCGUUGUCCGGAAUUAUUGGGCGUAAAGGGCUUGUAGGUGGCUGGUUGCGUCUGUCGUGAAAGCUCAUGGCUUAACUGUGGGUUUGCGGUGGGUACGGGCUGGCUUGAGUGCAGUAGGGGAGGCUGGAAUUCCUGGUGUAGCGGUGGAAUGCGCAGAUAUCAGGAGGAAUACCGGUGGCGAAGGCGGGUCUCUGGGCUGUUACUGACGCUGAGGUGCGAAAGCGUGGGGAGCAAACAGG